rnacentral:rRNA from 1 species
GUAGUCUCGCACAGAUGCAUAUCAAUAAGCGGAGGAAAAGAAACUAACAAGGAUUCCCUCAGUAACGGCGAGUGAAGCGGGAAGAGCUCAAAUUUGAAAUCUUGAAGGGUCACCUUUCACGAAUUGUAGUUUAAAGAAGUGUUUUCUGUUACGAUCGUAAUAUAAGUUCUUUGGAAUAGGACAUCACAGAGGGUGAGAAUCCCGUCUAUGAUUGCGAUUUGUAGCUUUGUGAUACACUUUCAAAGAGUCGGGUUGUUUGGGAAUGCAGCCCAAAACGGGAGGUAAAUUUCUUCUAAGGCUAAAUAUUGGCGAGAGACCGAUAGCGAACAAGUACCGUGAGGGAAAGAUGAAAAGAACUUUGAAAAGAGAGUUAAACAGUACGUGAAAUUGUCAAAAGGGAAGCGUUUGACACCAGUGUUGUUUUCUGAAAAUCAACCUCUGUUAGCUUUAUGCAUGUUUGUUUAGACCUAAUCAGCUAUCUUGCAUGUUCUAUUGUUUGCAGUGGUGCACUUUUCAGUUUACAGGUCAACAUCAGUUUUUUUUACCGUAAAAAAGUUAAAGAAGGUAGCUCAUGGCUCCGGUCGUGAGUGUUAUAGUCUUUUUCCUAUGCGGUAGGAGAGACUGAGGUCUGCAGUGUAGGCUAUUUGGCUAGAUACUCAGGUGCUAUGUGAUACCAUUUCAUAAACAACUUGUUGAUUAUGUUUUGUCUAUUGCAUACUCGCUUGUACUAUCAUACCUACGCUUAGGAUGUUGAGUCGUAGAGCCGCAG